rnacentral:lncRNA from 1 species
GCCAAACAGGUACUGGAGCUUGAGAUAGAGCAAAUGAGAGGUGCUUUAAGGGUGAUGAAACAUGAGGAUGAGGAUUUGAAGCCAAGAAGAAGAUGGAUGAAAUUCAAGAGAAGUUAAAGGAGAAGCAGGAAGAGUAUACCAAUGUAGAGCAACUUUUUGUAACACUUAUUUUUAAGGAGCGGAGGAGUAAUGAUGAAGUGGAGGAGGCUCGUAAGGAAUUAAUCAGUGUAAGUACAAUUUUUUUUGUCUGGUUUGACUUUUGGGCGGUUUAUUGAAUUAUAUCUCUGCAAUUUGGCUUCUCAUUCUUUUUUCAUAAUAUUAUUUCUAAAAUAUCUCCCUAACUUAGAAUUAAUGUUUGAUUAAACUGCUCUGCCUUAAUAAGUUAUAGCCUCUGGACCACAUUUGAUGAUUUUGAUGCCAUACAUUGAGUUUGAAUCACACUCACACUCACACACACACACACACACACACACACACACACACAUAUGUAUAUUUUAGCACGUUGAAAGAUAAAAGUGGUGGAAACUAGUGAGAUGAACAUUAGUGUCCCAAAUACAACCUGUUGUUCUUAAUGAAGGAUGCUAGUUUAUGGGGUUUCAGAGGCAUUAAUUUCUCAUUUAAACUAGAAUGUAAAUUUAGCAAUGUGGCUUAAUUUUUGAUCGUGUUCCUUUGUUAUUGUGUGGUUUAAUGAUCAGUAAUUCUUCCUUAUCAUUGUGGUUGUUCAUCCUUGCUUAUCAAUGUGAUAGUGUUUUUGUCCUGUUGUCGGAGCUUAAAUUUUGUUCUUUGCAGGGACUGUGGGGUUCAAACAGCCGGGCUUCCAUUGGUGUGAAAAUAAUGGGAGGUCUUGAUGAAAAACCAUUCUAAACUGCAACCAAGAAGAAAUAUUCUGAAGAAGAAGCAGAUGUGAAGGCAGUGGAGUUAUGUUCUCUGUGGCAGGAGCAUCUUAGGGAUCCAAGUUGGCAUCCUUUCAGGAUGAUCACGGAUAAAGAAGGAAAGACCUAGGUAUAUGUUCA